rnacentral:rRNA from 1 species
UAUUGCUAAAUAUUAAAUAAAGAGUAAGAAACUUUAGUGUGUGUACCUUUUGUAUCAGGGGAAGUUAAAAGUGUAAGUAAUAAAGGAUCGAUUUAAGCAGAGCUUCAUACAAAAUAGCUAUAGUUAAAUUUAUAGCUUUAAUAGAUUAUGUGGUGAAAAAUGUACGGUGCUUAUGGUAGCUAUUUGUUUUUUUAUUGAAGGGUAAGCUUUCAUUGACUUAAUUGUGUAAAAGGUAUAGGGAAUUAGGCUUUGUAUUAGCCAGAUUAUUAAAUUGUUUUAAAUAACCUAAUAGUGUAAGAUAAAUCUUAAGGUUAAAAGACUCGGCCUACUAAUUUGGAUAGGUCUGAAUAAUGAGUUUAUUGAAUAUAGGAUGAAAUACUUAAAUAACUCAAAGUAAGUUAGAAUGUUUAGCAAAAACAUUUUCUUUUGGUGUAAGUAAGAUAAGACCUGCCCGGUGAUUUUUAACGGCUGCGGUAUUUUGACUGUGCUAAGGUAGCAUAAUCAUUUGCUACUUAAUUGGUAGCUGGAAUGAAAGGUUAAACUAGUUUACUCAGUUUGUUGUGUUUUGUAAGAAAUUAAAGUCGAGGUAAGAAUUCUUUGAUCUGCUAGGGGACGAUAAGACCCUAGAAGCUUAACAAUAAGAGUAUUUAUUAGUUAUAAAAAUUAAUUUGUUUUACUGGGGCGGUAAAGGUAUAUGAACUAUUAGUGUAUUGAUAGAUCCUUAAAAUAAAGAUAAAACGAAAAAGUUACUCUAGGGGUAACAGUGCAAUAUUUUUGGAGAGAUCAUAUCGAUAAAAAUGUUUGCAACCUCGAUGUUGAAUUAAGAUGUCUACGUGAAGCAGCAGGUACAUGAGAGGGUUUGUUCAACCUUUAAAUUUUUACAUGAUUUGAGUUCAAAUCGGUUUGAGCCAGAUUGGAUUUUAUCUCUAGUAAUUGAAGAAGUCUUUUUAGUACGAAAGGGGAAAUUGAUUUUUGUUUGC